rnacentral:rRNA from 1 species
AUUGAACGCUGGCGGCAUGCCUUACACAUGCAAGUCGAACGGUAACAGGUCUUCGGAUGCUGACGAGUGGCGCACGGGUGAGUAAUACAUCGGAACGUGCCCGAUCGUGGGGGAUAACGAAGCGAAAGCUUUGCUAAUACCGCAUAAGAUCUACGGAUGAAAGCAGGGGACCGCAAGGCCUUGCGCGAACGGAGCGGCCGAUGGCAGAUUAGGUAGUUGGUGGGAUAAAAGCUUACCAAGCCGACGAUCUGUAGCUGGUCUGAGAGGACGACCAGCCACACUGGGACUGAGACACGGCCCAGACUCCGACGGGAGGCAGCAGUGGGGAAUUUUGGACAAUGGGCGAAAGCCUGAUCCAGCCAUGCCGCGUGCAGGAUGAAGACCUUCGGGUUGUAAACUGCUUUUGUACGGAACGAAAAGACUCUGGUUAAUACCUGGGGUCCAUGACGGUACCGUAAGAAUAAGCACCGGCUAACUACGU